AGUAACGCGUCGAUACGAGGCGGGGGAAUAGAGAGGGGGCAAACGUGAAGUGGAGUGACUGGGCGUAAAGCGCGCGUAGGUGGCUAAUGAAGUCAAAUGUGAAACUCCCGAGCUUAACGUGGGAAUGUCAUUCGAUACUGGUUAGCUAGAGUAUGGGAGAGGAUGGUAGAAUUCCAGGUGUAGCGGUGAAAUGCGUAGAGAUCUGGAGGAAUACCGAUGGCGAAGGCAGCCAUCUGGCCUAAUACUGACACUGAGGUGCGAAAGCAUGGGGAGCAAACAGGCUUAGAUACCCCAGUAGUC
rnacentral:rRNA from 1 species